rnacentral:rRNA from 1 species
GACAGAGGCCUCAAGCGUUAGGCGGAAUCACUGGGCUUAAAGCGCGUGUAGGUGGGUCGUUAAGUGUCAGCGUGAAAUCCCACGGCUCAACCGUGGAACUGCCGGGCAUACUGGCGAUCUUGAGGCAUUCAGGGGCGAGCGGAACAAAUGGUGGAGCGGUGAAAUGCGUAGAUAUCAUUUGGAACGCCAAUGGUGAAAACAGCUCGCUGGGAAUGAUCUGACACUGAGACGCGAAAGCCAGGGGAGCGAACGGG